AUUGAACGCUGGCGGCAGGCCUAACACAUGCAAGUCGAACGGUAACAGGAAGAAGCUUGCUUCUUUGCUGACGAGUGGCGGACGGGUGAGUAAUGUCUGGGAAACUGCCUGAUGGAGGGGGAUAACUACUGGAAACGGUAGCUAAUACCGCAUAACGUCGCAAGCCCAAAGAGCGGGACCUUCGGGCCUCUUGCCUUCGGCUGUGCCCAGAUGGGAUUAGCUAGUAGGUGGGGUAACGGCUCACCUAGGCGACGAUCCCUAGCUGGUCUGAGAGGGUGACCAGACACACUGGAACUGAGACACGGGCCAGAAUCCUACGGGAGGCAGCAGGGGGGAAUAUUGCACAAUGGGCGCAAGCCUGAUGCAGCCAUGCCGCGUGUAUGAAGAAGGCCUUCGGGUUGUAAAGUACUUUCAGCGGGGAGGAAGGGAGUAAAGUUAAUACCUUUGCUCAUUGACGUUACCCGCAGAAGAAGCACCGGCUAACUCCGUG
rnacentral:rRNA from 1 species